CAGGAAAUGACAUGGCAGGGAGACUCAUACACAAACAAGGGAAGAAGGAAGUGGGCCCUCUCUUCCUCCAGAUUCGCCAUGUAAUCCACCGGUAAGGGAGGAUGCCAAUGGAAGGUGUCCAGUAAGAUAAGUCUUAUAACACAAAUAGAUUUAUGGUAAUUAAGACUGAGCUAACAGAUGAGAAUCCUAGUCAUUGGCCAAGCAGCAUUUGUACCUAAUCAUCUUCCUCUCUGUUAAGACGAGCCUGAGGAUGCUGACUGAGUUUGUAUCGUGUAGAAUGCAGCUUGUGGACUCUCUACUGCCAGAAGAUGACACACUAUUUGGAGUUCAUUCUCUCCUCUGCUACUGGCCUCUUGGGCAAAGAACUGCCCCCACCCCGACUGCUAACCUUGGUCAUGCUGUCCUAACUGUGCUUGCAGGAGAUAAACUUAAAGAAGACUGCUUAACCCUGCCCAGUCAAAAAGAAUACAUCUCUCAACUCUCUUCAUAGAAGUUUCUUUUUGGAGAAGAUGGCAAUUAAUAAAGAAACACACAACCAGUCAAUGUUAACAUGCAAAGAAUAAGAGACUUCGAGAGACUCCCCAUGCUAAAGUAGAUGACCUCAUUCCUAUGAGCAUAAAGACAGCACUGGAUGGAUUCAUU
rnacentral:lncRNA from 1 species